rnacentral:tRNA from 1 species
ACCGAUGUGGUGUAAUGGUUAACAUUCGACGUUUUCAAAUCCGGAUUCCGUUGAGCUCGGAGUUCGAUUCUCCGUAUCGGUG